ACGAAUGAAAGGCAGAGGAAGUGGCUUACCUUGGUUGGCCGAAGGCAACGAAGACGAUGACAAAGCUCCUUCUGUGUGAUUGAACCACGCUUGGCAGGGCACCCUUUUCACCUUCCCUUGCGUUCUUCUCUCUGGGAUUUGUGUUUCCUUUGCUUCUGGUUAUCUAGCCUAUUAUCCCGGUUUUUUUUUAGAUGAAGGAACGCAUACGAUGGCGAUGCUGGGGGGCUCUUUUUUUUAUUUGCAGGAGGCGAUCAAGAAGACGGUGAUGUUAAUGGCUGGGAGAUCGAUCGGCGUUGUAACAGCCGGCAGUAAUGGCGUGGGGCGUUCCAUUCAAUGGAGAAACGUCCCUGCGUUUAAUGGCGGAACCGCUACAGGGGAAGAAGACGAGCGAACAGUCGCCUCCCAAAACGACUCCGUUUUUACAAUUCCAAAGGCUGCUUUCAAUUUGGUCCUCGGAAUUUUGUAAUUUUGCAAUCAAGCUGCUGGUUAAAAUGUAAUUGGAUCCUUGCAUUUGCGCGACAUUUUCAAUGUAAUUCUUGGAUUCUAAUUUUCCAA